AAAAACUGGUUCCCAUACAAUCACUGAAGUUAAGCAAUGUCAAGCUUGGUCAGUACACAGAUGGGUGACUGCUUGAGAAUACUCAGUGCUGUAAG